AAAACUUUCAACAACGGAUCUCUUGGUUCCGGCGUCGAUGAAGAACGCAGCGAAACGCGAUACGUAAUGUGAAUUGCAGAAUUCCGUGAAUCAUCGAAUCUUUGAACGCACAUUGCGCCCCUCGGGACCCCCCGGGGGGCAUGCCUGUCCGAGCGUCAUUGC
rnacentral:rRNA from 1 species